rnacentral:misc_RNA from 1 species
GUGUGUGUGUGUGUGGUGUGAGUGUGUGUGGUGUGAGUGUGUGUGGUUUGCGCAGCUCCAGCAUGCGGAGCAUCUGGGCAUGCGCGGCGCACCGCGGCUGCUUAUGCUGAUGCCCUCGCACCCGCAGUGCACGCAACAUCUCCGUCGCCAGUGUGCUCGUCUGCUGCGCAGACUCGCGACUCAAUAAUGAUCCUUCCGCAGGUUCACCUACGGAAA